CGGUUUCUUGAUACGAUGCUUCAAAUCCGUUUCCAGGAUUUUACGACGUCGCCUCGGCCCUCCAGGCGGAAACGAAGCCUAAACGUCCGUUUCUUUAAUAACUUUGCACCGGCUCGACGAAUCGCCGAACCGUCGUUUCCAACGCGUUCGUAGACCUAGCAAUUAGGUAAACAGAGGGUUAAAAGAGAUCAAACCCAACAAUUUUAAAAGUUAGCAUUUUGAGCCCUAGGUUUACAACUAUGCAAGAAAUCAUUAAAUUGCUCUAUGAUUCAAGCAUUAAUCAUCUAUUAGGCAUCAAUGGGUUCCACUAAAACCAUUUUCAAAAUAUUUAGACCUAUCUUUAGAGAUCUACCAUUAAAGCCCUCAUUUUGGAGCUCUAUAUUGCGAUUAGUGCUAAGCACACUAAUAGAACCAUAGAUUCAUGUUAGAAUCAUCUUAGUAACCUCCUAAGGUUUGCCCAAAACCAUUUCUAGAGUGUAUAAUUGAAGCCCUAACAUUCUACCAUUAAAGGGUUAGAGCUUUACCUCACAAGAUUCCUCCAAGCUUGAAGGAGAGGAAGAAGAUGAUGAAGAUCACUUCCAAGCUUCACAAAACCCCUCUCUUGGCUUCUUAUUCCUAGAGAGAGAGAGAGCUCUCCAUGGUUGCAAGUGUGAGGGAGAGAAGGAGAAGAGAAGGUGUGUGUGCGUGUGAUGCUUCGGCCAAGCAGCCGCACCACAUAUGGGGCUGCCACAAUUGCAGGAAACCCCCUCACAUUAU
rnacentral:lncRNA from 1 species